rnacentral:miRNA from 1 species
UCCUUUGUACAAGAUGUUCUAU